GUUUAAUUAGUUUAAAUUUUAAAAACAACAAAUUGUGGAUUUGUGGAUAUGUAAAUAUUAAACA
rnacentral:tRNA from 1 species